rnacentral:rRNA from 1 species
AUUGAACGCUGGCGGCAUGCCUUACACAUGCAAGUCGAACGGCAGCACGGGUGCUUGCACCUGGUGGCGAGUGGCGAACGGGUGAGUAAUACAUCGGAACGUACCUUAUCGUGGGGGAUAACGCAGCGAAAGCUGUGCUAAUACCGCAUACGCCCUGAGGGGGAAAGCGGGGGAUCGCAAGACCUCGCGCGAUUAGAGCGGCCGAUGCCUGAUUAGCUUGUUGGUGGGGUAAAAGCCCACCAAGGCGACGAUCAGUAGCUGGUCUGAGAGGACGAUCAGCCACACUGGGAGUGAGACACGGCCCAGACUCCUACGGGAGGCAGCAGUGGGGAAUUUUGGACAAUGGGGGCAACCCUGAUCCAGCAAUGCCGCGUGGGUGAAGAAGGCCUUCGGGUUGUAAAGCUCUUUUGUCAGGGAAGAAACACCGGCUCUAACACAGUCCGGGAAUGACGGUACCUGAAGAAUAAGCACCGGCUAACUACGUGCCAGCAGCCGCGGUAA